rnacentral:rRNA from 1 species
AGAGUUUGAUCAUGGCUCAGAAUCAACGCUGGCGGCGCGCCUAACACAUGCAAGUCGAACGAGAAAGGGGAGCAAUCCCUGAGUAAAGUGGCGUACGGGUGAGUAACACGUGGGUAAUCUGCCCUUUGGUGGGGAAUAACCCUGGGAAACCGGGGCUAAUACCGCAUAAGUCCGAGAGGAGAAAGCAGCAAUGCGCCGAAGGAGGAGCCCGCGGCCGAUUAGCUAGUUGGUAGGGUAAGAGCCUACCAAGGCAAAGAUCGGUAGCCGGCCUGAGAGGGCACACGGCCACACUGGCACUGAAACACGGGCCAGACUCCUACGGGAGGCAGCAGUGGGGAAUCUUGCACAAUGGGGGAAACCCUGAUGCAGCGACGCCGCGUGAGCGAUGAAGCCCUUCGGGGUGUAAAGCUCUUUCGGCAGGGAAGAUGAUGACGGUACCUGCAGAAGCAGCUGCGGCUAACUACGUGCCAGCAGCCGCGGUAAUACGUAGGCAGCAAGCGUUGUUCGGAGUUACUGGGCGUAAAGGGUGUGUAGGCGGUCUGGUAAGUCUGGUGUGAAAUCUCCCGGCUCAACUGGGAGGGUGCGCCGGAAACUGCUGGACUCGAGUGCGGGAGAGGAGAGUGGAAUUCCUGGUGUAGCGGUGAAAUGCGUAGAUAUCAGGAGGAACACCGGCGGUGUAGACGGCUCUCUGGACCGUAACUGACGCUGAAACACGAAAGCGUGGGUAGCAAACAGGAUUAGAUACCCUGGUAGUCCACGCCCUAAACGAUGCAUAUUUGGUGUGGGUCAUUCAGUUGAUCCGUGCCGGAGCUAACGCGUUAAAUAUGCCGCCUGGGGAGUACAGUCGCAAGGCUGAAACUCAAAGGAAUUGACGGGGCCCGCACAAGCGGUGGAGCAUGUGGUUCAAUUCGACGCAACGCGAAGAACCUUA